rnacentral:rRNA from 1 species
UACGUAGGGUGCGAGCGUUAAUCGGAAUUACUGGGCGUAAAGCGUGCGCAGGCGGCGCCGCAAGUCAGGCGUGAAAUCCCCGAGCUUAACUUGGGAAUGGCGCUUGAAACUACGGUGCUGGAGUGUGGCAGAGGGAGGUGGAAUUCCACGUGUAGCGGUGAAAUGCGUAGAGAUGUGGAGGAACACCGGUGGCGAAGGCGGCUUUCUGGACAGAUACCGACGCUGAGGCACGAAAGCUAGGGGAGCAAACAGG